UCAGCAGCCGCGGUAAUACGUAGGGGGCAAGCGUUGUCCGGAAUUAUUGGGCGUAAAGCGCGCGCAGGCGGUUUUCUAAGUUAGGUGUGAAAGCCCACGGCUCAACCGUGGAGGGCCAUCUAAAACUGGAAGACUUGAGUGCAGGAGAGGAGAGCGGAAUUCCACGUGUAGCGGUGAAAUGCGUAGAGAUGUGGAGGAACACCCGUGGCGAAGGCGGCUCUCUGGCCUGUAACUGACGCUGAGGCGCGAAAGCGUGGGGAGCAAACAGGAUUAGAUACCCUGGUAGUCCACGCCGUAAACGAUGAGUGCUAGGUGUUGGGGACUCCAAUCCUCAGUGCCGCAGCUAACGCAAUAAGCACUCCGCCUGGGGAGUACGGCCGCAAGGCUGAAACUCAAAGGAAUUGACGGGGGCCCGCACAAGUC
rnacentral:rRNA from 1 species